AAAAAUAAAAUAAAAGAAAUCAAGAAACAUUGGCG
rnacentral:guide_RNA from 1 species